CGUAGGAUGCAAGCGUUGUCCGGAUUUACUGGGCGUAAAGCGCGCGCAGGCGGCAUACCAAGUAUUCAGUGAAAUCUCCUUGCUCAACGGGGAGGGUGCUGAGUAGACUGGUAAGCUAGAGGACGGUAGAGGGGGGUAGAAUUGCUGGUGUAGCGGUGAAAUGCGUAGAGAUCAGCAGGAAUACCCGUGGCGAAGGCGACCCCCUGGGCCGUUUCUGACGCUGAGGCGCGAAGGCUAGGGGAGCGAACGGGAUUAGAUACCCCGAUAGUCCUAGCAGUAAACGAUGGCCACUAGGUGUGAGGGGUGUUGACCCCCCUUGUGCCGAAGCUAACGCAUUAAGUGGCCCGCCUGGGGAGUACGGUCGCAAGACUA
rnacentral:rRNA from 1 species